CCUCGGGAGGCUGCAGUGGGGAAUAUUGGACAAGGGGCGAAAGCCUGAUCCAGCCAUGCCGCGUGUGUGAAGAAGGCCUUCGGGUUGUAAAGCACUUUCAGUGGGGAAGAAAGCCUUGGGGCUAAUACCCUCGAGGAAGGACAUCACCCACAGAAGAAGCACCGGCUAACUCCGUGCCAGCAGCCGCGGUAAUACGGAGGGUGCGAGGGUAAUCGGAAGUACUGGGCGUAAAGCGCGCGUAGGCGGUCUGAUAAGCCGGUUGUGAAAGCCCCGGGCUCAACCUGGGAACGGCAUCCGGAACUGUCAGGCUAGAGUGCAGGAGAGGAAGGUAGAAUUCCCGGUGUAGCGGUGAAAUGCGUAGAGAUCGGGAGGAAUACCAGUGGCGAAGGCGGCCUUCUGGACUGACACUGACGCUGAGGUGCGAAAGCGUGGGUAGCAAACAGGAUUAGAUACCCGAGUAGUC
rnacentral:rRNA from 1 species